CGGGGGGCAGCAGUGGGGAAUUUUGCACAAUGGAGGAAACUCUGAUGCAGCAACGCCGCGUGAGUGAAGAAGGCCUUUGGGUCGUAAAGCUCUUUCGGUUGGGAAGAAGGGUUAUAUGGCUAAUAUCCAUGUAAUUUGACGGUACCAAAAUAAGAAGCACCUGCUAACUUCGUGCCAGCAGCAGCGGUAAUACGAAGGGUGCAAGCGUUGUUCGGAAUUACUGGGCGUAAAGGGCGCGUAGGCUGGUUUGUAAGUCUAAUGUGAAAUCCCCGGGCUCAACCCGGGACGUGCAUUAGAAACUGCAGAUCUUGAAUGCUUAAGAGGGUGGUGGAAUUCCAGGAGUAGAAGUGAAAUUCGUAGAUAUCUGGAGGAACACCUGAGGCGAAGGCGGCCACCUGGUAAGACAUUGACGCUGAGGCGCGAAAGUGCGGGGAGCAAACAGGAUUAGAUACCCGAGU
rnacentral:rRNA from 1 species